CCGCCGCCGCGCUCCCCGCGCCCGCCGCCGCCCGAACCGCGCUCUCCGCGCUCCCCUCCGGCCCUGCCCGGAGCCGGUGCGGCCCGCCGGGGGCGGCGGGGGGAGCCGGGGCCGCCGGGGCCGCCUCUCACCUCGCUCGGGGCGGCGGGUCGGGCCCGCGCGCGUGCCCGGCCGUGCGCACGCGCCGGGGCGGAUGCGCGCGCCCCCUGGCGGAACCCGGCGCGCGCCACAAGCCCCGCCCCGCCCCGCCCCUCACGGGGCCUGAGGGAGCCGGGCCCGGCCGGAACAGCGGGACCAGGACAGCGGGAGCGGGGCAGGGCAGGGACCGGGACAGCGGGAGGGGGACAGCGGGACCCGGGCUGGGGAGGGACCGGGAUCACACUGAGGUACACAGGCCGUGCCAGCCUCGUGUCCCGCGGGGAACAGCCCCGGGCCCCUCUGCCUGCCCGGGAGAGCCCCGCGCUUCUCCCACGGUUACCGGAGCAGCUCCCCCGGUCCUGAUGGUGUUCGACCUCCAUCCCGGCAGCUCUAGAGCUGCACUCCAGGAAGAUCCAGCUGGAUACUCUGGGAUGAAUUCAGUGCUCACACGCUGCUACCUGGAGGUUUUAGUGAGUGAGGUCACUUUCAUUUGCUAUUUGGAAUUAUUUGCUGAUAAUUUGUGCUCCCCUGCAGCCCAGUGCAGGAGUGCAGGCCGAGCCCCAGGUGAAACACAACACUUUUGUGGUUCAAACCCAGAGGCCACACACACAGAAAUCAGGGGGAGCAUUGUCAGGCCUCUCUCUCCCUGCUCUCGGAGGGAUUUCUCGGCGCCGUUGGGAGGAGUUUUUGUGGCGUUUUCUGCCUCGGACACACGGUGGCGAUGGAAAUCACCUUUUCCUGCAGAGCUUCGGUCUUUGGACUGCUCGCUAACCACACGUGUGUGUGUCCCAGCAUGGAAGGAUGAAAUAUUUCUGUUCAAUCCCAAAUAAACGCUGACGUUUCAAUUGGCCGCGGAUCCAGAGAAUCCAGAACACUUUCUCGUAAGCAUUGAUAUUAUUUAAAUUCAGAUGUUUGUGUUAAAAACAAGAGCCAGUGGAGGGCUGGUGUUUGGCUUUAAAGGGUGAUCUGACCUUUCUCUCUGUUCCUUGGUGCCAGGCUGGCAGUGUCACCGACCCUCACCCGGGCUGAUCUGCUGUGUUUGCACUGGGGCUGUCACCAGAGCCUGGUCAGGAGAGGUGGGACCAGCACUUGGCGUCACCAGAGGUAAAAACAUUUCCCCCGUGUGUUUUGGAGUUUGGUAACUCAGGCUGAACUUCCUUUUUUUGAGAGAGCAGCGUGGCAUGAGUUCCCAGUGCACGUGCUUGGAAUCAUGGAUGAGAGUCAAUAACUGUGGCCAGUUUUGGAGCAGGACAGGGAGAGGUGUCAGGUGCAUUUACCACCCCUCCUGCAAAGCAGAACACGGUUAUGAUUCAAACAUUUAAAAGAAACCCAUUGCAAAGUGUGUGUGUGAACCCUGUGAAACAAUUGAAACACAGAUUAUUCCUGCCCAGACUUGAAUCCCAGGAUUGUUAUGUUGGAAAAGACCUGGAUUGUUAUGUGGAAAAGACCACAUCCAGGCAUGGGGACCCCUCCACUGUCUCCACUUGAAUUUCAUGGAAUCUCCUGAGUUGGAAGGGCCCCACAAGGAUCAGCCUCACUGUCCCCAGCUGAUCAUUGCAGUGCCCUCAGCCUCUCCUCACAUGCCUUUUCCUCCAGACCCCCCACCAUCUUCAUAGCCCAAAAAAUAACAAUUUUUUAAUUUUAUUUCCUUCCAAAUCCAAAUCCACGCUGGGUUUUUAAGGCUAAUGUCUUUAACUCUCUCUUUUCCACGUGUUCGUGUCUCUGUGUGCCCUUGACUGGAGGAGUUGCUGCAGAUUUCAGAGAGUGAGGCAAUCCCUCCCCAGCAGUGUUUGGACAGCGUUUGGAGCUGGCUGGAUGUGCUGGGCUGGGCAGGCAGAGUGCAGGUGCAGGUUUUAGCAGGCCUGGAGCUCUGGGAGCAGCAGCCAGGAUGAACUCAGAGCCUGAUGUAAUCUCUGGUUUGGUAAGUUCUGUAUGUGGUUAUUAUCAGUGAUUUGGGACCAGCCCCUCAGCAAGCCAAGCACUCCCCCUCACUCCUGCAGCACUUGGGAUUUAGCACUGAGAGGAUUAACCAACACCAAACCCUUCUCUUCAUCUCCUCCAUGGAAUAAUUACUGAGGGAGGAUUCUUUGUGUGAAGGACACAUCUAUAGCUAUGCAUUUAUGUCUACAGAGGUAUAAAUAAAACUGUCCAUGCACAGAUUUCCCA
rnacentral:lncRNA from 1 species